AUGUAGAUGGUGCAGAAGACACAGAAGGGAGUGACUCGGUGCUUGUAUCAUCUGGUGCAAGCAAACAUAUCAUGUAAUGCUAUAAUGUGAUCGGUUACGGUACGAUCCUUCUAGUUUUGCUUGAAUUGAAGUAUCUCCCCAAAUACUAAUUAGGUCUAACACCUCACUCUCCCUCCAUUGACUUGCUCCAUCACUGUUCUCCAUUUUGUAGGCCUAGUCCAGUUUUUAAUUUUACCGUCUGUGUCGAGGGCGAACUCGCCGGCGCAUCACUGUGACAAAUGUCGAUGUAGAUUGACGUAAAAGUCGCAUCAAAUCCAGUUUGGUUGUUCACACUGCGGCCGCAUUGAAAACAAUCAGACCUGGAUCAGAUUCAGGACCACAUAUGGAAGAGGUCUGAACGUGGUCCUAGAUACCAGUAAGCAGACACAUGUUGGACCCUCGGUCAUGUGACGGGACGUUUACAUCUCAAAUAAAUUAUAACAUCCAAAGAUAAUUAAAAUAUGGCUUAAAGUGCUUAAAGUGCAGAUAAAAGUGCUAAAUCAACACAUUACACAGUUCAGUGGGUAACAAUUAUACAAACCAACAUAUUACACAGCACUGGAUUCAGUUUAAAGCUUUAAAAUAUCAAGCUAAUGGUUUUAGCAUUAGUGAAUGGCGUCUGCCAUUGUGCUAGUUAGCAUCUUCAGCUAGCGUUAGCGGCUAGCGCUUAGCAUGGUAACAACGAUCGCUCACCGAUGCGUUUCCUUCGUGAGGGAGACGUCAGGUCUCUCCGACUGCACUCUCACAGGUCAGGGCUCCACACUGGAUCAAUACAAUCAGUUUUCAAUCAGUUUUUAAUCAGUUUUUAAUCAGUUUUCAAUCAGUUUUCAAUCAGUUUUCAAUCAGUUUUUAAUCCGUUUUUAAUCAGUUUUUAAUCAGUUUUCAAUCAGUUUUUAAUCAGUUUUUAAUCAGUUUUCAACAACUUUUAUCGCUUUAUCUCCACGAGGUAGGAACCGUUGUCAGCGCGGGGUUUCCUCUCUGUUCUUCCAGGAGCUCGAGGUGAAGUGAACUCGGCUCCUGAUUGGCUGACAGCGCGUCUCCUUCAAAAUAAAGUUCCUAUUUAUUUUCUCUUUAUCUCAGUUGAAUUGCUUUUUAGACAAAUAUCAGUUUUUAAUCGUUAACAUUAAUAACAUACUUCACGAAUUGACUUUUUAAUAUAGAUUUUUAACCUUGGUUACACUUACUUUUAAUAUGUGUUUGUGAAUUUUAUUCAUUUUCAUUGAGUCUGAAUUUUAUCUCAUUGAGUUAUUUUUCAUUUUCUGUUAUUUUGGUUUAUUUCCAGUGGAAAUUGAGUUUUCUGAACUUUGUCCUUCCGUAGCUCCUUCGUUUGUGUUGUUUGUGUUUAGUCACCCACCCCACACACACUUUUUACUCUGUUUAACCUAUUCUAUAUAGUUUAUAUUGUUAUUGAAAUUAAAUGUUUUCUGGUAAACUGUAACAGCUCUUUUUGUAAUUGUUUUGUUUUUGUAAUAUGCACAUUGAGUUACAUAUACUCUGUAAUGUUUAAAUGAAUUUAUCUAUAUGUAUUUUCAGAAAGAUAAUGAAAUCACACAGUGUUGUUUUGCAUUGCUGAGGAAGAAGAGGUGCAGGAAAAAAAGAGCAGAAGGAAAUGAAUGUGCUAUAUUGUCUUCUGCAGGAGCAAAUAAAUGCUGGUUAACAGUU